GAGGGUAUAGCUCAAGUGGUAGAGUGCAUGCUUAGCAUGCAUGAGGUCCUGGGUUCAAUCCUCAGUACUUCUU
rnacentral:tRNA from 1 species